AACGAACGCUGGCGGCAUGCCUAACACAUGCAAGUCGAACGAGACCUUCCGGUCUAGCGGCGCACGGGUGCGUAACGCCUGGGAACCUGCCCUUAGGUACGGAAUAACUCCCCGAAAGGGGUGCUAAUACCGCAUAAUCUCUUCGGACCAAAGAUUUAUCGCUUUUGGAUGGGCCCGGGUUGGAUUAGCUAGUUGGUAGGGUAAUAGCCUACCAACGCGUCGAUGCAUAGCUGGUCUGGGAGGAUGAUCAGCCACACUGGGACUGAGACACGGCCCAGACUCCUACGGGAGGCAGCAGUGGGGAAUAUUGGACAAUGGGGGAAAGCCUGAUCAAGCAAUGCCGCGUGAGAGAUGAAGGCGUUAGGGUUGUAAAGCUCUUUUACCCGGGAUGAUAAUGACGGUACCGUGAGAAUAAGCUCCGGCUAACUCCGUG
rnacentral:rRNA from 1 species